CGGGGGGGUCACGUACCGCUGCGGGUCCUGAUAGUAGGAGGAGGGUCCCGCCUGUGAGUGGACAGACGGACGGCGAUGUCACGAGGCGUCGCCACAUCUAAGCCACCCGACUGGGUCACUCGCGUUUUCUUACCUGUUAUGUUACAAAAUAUGAACGAGUUCACCACGACGACAUCGGACCAAUCAGCACCCACCUUGGGCCGGCGGAGGCGGGGCAUACGGGGGAGGAUGGACGUCACUCAUCUGGAAGGACAAAGACGAGAUGAGCGACGGCGUCAUGGCGACUCGUGCGCUCAAUAUGGGAACGGCGGCGGGAGAACAACGUAGCGCUGUCGGACGCGCAUAGCGGGGCUAAUCCAAUUGAGAAUGUAAAAGUCAACAUUUUAAUGGUGGUGGCAAGUAAGCGCAAUAAGAAGACGAUGGCGAGGACAACAAAAAAAUGAAGACGUUACCUUCUUGACGCUCAAGCCCACGAUGUACGUCGGCGCUCUCUCG